rnacentral:rRNA from 1 species
GACGAACGCUGGCGGCGUGCUUAACACAUGCAAGUCGAGCGGUAAGGCCCUUUCGGGGGUACGACGAGCGGCGAACGGGUAGGAGUAACACGUGGGUGGACCUCGCCCUCCAGCUCUGGGAGUAAGCCUGGGAAACCGGGGUACUAAUACUGGAUAUGACUCCAUGACGCAUGUUGUGGGGUGGAAAGCCUUGUGCGGCUGAGGAUGGGCCCGCGGCCUAUCAGCUUGUUGGUGGGGGUGAGGCCUACCAAGGCGACGACGGGUAGCCGGCCUGAGAGGGCGACCGGCCACACUGGGAC